CAUCUUUAAUAGGAUGUUACGAUUGUGUGAAUACAUAGCACAUUCGAGGUAGACGCAGAGAACUGAAACAUCUAAGUACCUGCAGGAAGAGAAAGAAAAUUCGAUUCCCUGAGUAGCGGCGAGCGAAACGGGAAAAGCCCAAACCAGCAAGCUUGCUUGUUGGGGUUGUAGGACUCCAAUAUGGUAGUUCUUUCAGAUAGUCGAAUGACUUGGAAAAGUCAGUCAAAGAGGGUAAAAACCCCGUAGACGAAAUGUGGAAGACACCUAGGAGGAUCCUGAGUACGGCGGAACACGAGAAAUUCCGUCGGAAUCCGGGAGGACCAUCUCCCAAGGCUAAAUACUCCCUAGUGACCGAUAGUGAACCAGUACCGUGAGGGAAAGGUGAAAAGCACCCCGGAAGGGGAGUGAAAUAGAACCUGAAACCGUGUGCCUACAACAAGUCAAAGCCCGUUAAUGGGUGAUGGCGUGCCUUUUGUAGAAUGAACCGGCGAGUUACGAUUGCAUGCGAGGUUAAGUUGAAGAGACGGAGCCGCAGCGAAAGCGAGUCUGAAUAGGGCGUUUGAGUAUGUAGUCGUAGACCCGAAACCAUGUGAUCUACCCAUGUCCAGGUUGAAGGUGCGGUAAAACGCACUGGAGGACCGAACCCACGUACGUUGAAAAGUGCGGGGAUGAGGUGUGGGUAGCGGAGAAAUUCCAAACGAACUUGGAGAUAGCUGGUUCUCUCCGAAAUAGCUUUAGGGCUAGCCUCGGAAUUGAGAAUGAUGGAGGUAGAGCACUGUUUGGACUAGGGGCCCAUCUCGGGUUACCGAAUUCAGAUAAACUCCGAAUGCCAUUCAUUCAUAUCCGGGAGUCAGACUGUGAGUGAUAAGAUCCAUAGUCGAAAGGGAAACAGCCCAGACCACCAGCUAAGGUCCCAAAAUAUAUGUUAAGUGGAAAAGGAUGUGGGGUUGCACAGACAACUAGGAUGUUGGCUUAGAAGCAGCCAUCAUUUAAAGAGUGCGUAAUAGCUCACUAGUCGAGUGACCCUGCGCCGAAAAUGUACCGGGGCUAAACAUAUUACCGAAGCUGUGGAGUACACCUUUAGGUGUAUUGGUAGGAGAGCGUUCUAAGGGCGUUGAAGGCAGAUCGUGAGGACUGCUGGAGCGCUUAGAAGUGAGAAUGCCGGUAUGAGUAGCGAAAGACAGGUGAGAAUCCUGUCCACCGAAUGACUAAGGUUUCCUGGGGAAGGCUCGUCCGCCCAGGGUUAGUCGGGACCUAAGCCGAGGCCGACAGGCGUAGGCGAUGGAUAACAGGUUGAUAUUCCUGUACCCGUUGUUUUUGUUUGAGCAAUGGAGGGACGCAGGAGGCUAAGGAAUGCAGACGAUCGGAAAUGUCUGUCCAAGCAGUAAGUCUGAAGAGGAGUCAAAUGCUUCUUUUCUUAAGGACAAGCUGUGAUGGGGAGGGAAAUAAUAGUACCGAAGUUCCUGAUGUCACACUGCCGAGAAAAGCUUCUAGUGAGAAAACAGCGGCCCGUACCGCAAACCGACACAGGUAGUCGAGGAGAGAAUCCUAAGGUGAGCGAGAGAACUCUCGUUAAGGAACUCGGCAAAAUGACCCCGUAACUUCGGGAGAAGGGGUGCUGAUCAUACGAUCAGCCGCAGUGAAUAGGCCCAAGCGACUGUUUAUCAAAAACACAGGUCUCUGCAAAAUCGUAAGAUGAAGUAUAGGGGCUGACGCCUGCCCGGUGCUGGAAGGUUAAGAGGAGUGCUUAGCGCAAGCGAAGGUACGAAUUGAAGCCCCAGUAAACGGCGGCCGUAACUAUAACGGUCCUAAGGUAGCGAAAUUCCUUGUCGGGUAAGUUCCGACCCGCACGAAAGGCGUAACGAUUUGGGCACUGUCUCAACGAGAGACUCGGUGAAAUUUUAGUACCUGUGAAGAUGCAGGUUACCCGCGACAGGACGGAAAGACCCCAUGGAGCUUUACUGUAGUUUGAUAUUGAGUGUCUGUACCGCAUGUACAGGAUAGGUAGGAGCCGUAGAAAUCGGAACGCUAGUUUCGAUGGAGGCGCUGGUGGGAUACUACCCCUGCGUUAUGGCCACUCUAACCCGCACCACUAAUCGUGGUGGGAGACAGUGUCAGAUGGGCAGUUUGACUGGGGCGGUCGCCUCCUAAAAGGUAACGGAGGCGCCCAAAGGUUCCCUCAGAAUGGUUGGAAAUCAUUCGAAGAGUGUAAAGGCAGAAGGGAGCUUGACUGCGAGACCAACAAGUCGAGCAGGGACGAAAGUCGGGCUUAGUGAUCCGGUGGUUCCGCAUGGAAGGGCCAUCGCUCAACGGAUAAAAGCUACCCUGGGGAUAACAGGCUUAUCUCCCCCAAGAGUCCACAUCGACGGGGAGGUUUGGCACCUCGAUGUCGGCUCGUCGCAUCCUGGGGCUGUAGUCGGUCCCAAGGGUUGGGCUGUUCGCCCAUUAAAGCGGCACGCGAGCUGGGUUCAGAACGUCGUGAGACAGUUCGGUCCCUAUCCGUCGCGGGCGUUGGAAAUUUGAGAGGAGCUGUCCUUAGUACGAGAGGACCGGGAUGGACUUACCGCUGGUGUACCAGUUGUUCUGCCAAGGGCAUUGCUGGGUAGCUAUGUAGGGAAGGGAUAAACGCUGAAAGCAUCUAAGUGUGAAGCCCACCUCAAGAUGAGAUUUCCCAUUUCUUUAAGAAAGUAAGAUCCCUGAGAGAUGAUCAGGUAGAUAGGUCAGGAGUGGAAGUACAGUGAUGUAUGGAGCGGACUGAUACUAAUCGAUCGAGGACUUAACCAAU
rnacentral:rRNA from 1 species